GGAAAUUCUUUUUCCGUAUGUAAAAUUUGCUUAAAAAAUAAAGUUAAAACACUUUUCAAAACCCUUGAACUACCCUCCCUUUUCUAUUUUUACUAAGAAAUUGUGCAGCUAUUGAUUGAAACGGGCAAACAUACACGGCAAAACCAGAGUUUAUUAAAUUCCUGAUCAAAACACCCACGAUGAUCCACGGUGUGACCAACUUUAUUCCUGCCUUACCUCUGAUCAACCCUGACCCAAACCUUCUAAUGUUUCAGUCAUUGUUGUCUCUCAGCCUCUUGAAAGAUAUUUCAAAGUUCUAGCUUGAUGUUGAUUGUAUUUUGUUCCGUCUCUGUUCAGAUAAAUCCACAGUACGUGGAACACACUUCCAGUCCAGUCCUACAGUCCAGUCCAGAAGUUUCAGAAAGAAGAAUGUGGGGAAAAAUGUCUGUCGUUGAUGAUUGUUGGACAAGACUGUGCAGCAGAAUAUCAGCGCUGUGAGGGGAAGAAGAAAACAGUGAUCAUUUCCAUGUAAAAAGUAUGUAUGAGUGAUUAUCACGUGCAGUGUGGCCGACAGCUCGAGCAACACGGGCGUGACGUCACGUGUAAAACCUCUACAGUGAGCUUUUUUAUUCCAGUUUUUAAUUUCCAUUGAUCAGCUGUUAGAAAUACUGAUACUCAUAGCUAAUACCGUCAGAUAACAUCAGCCUGCUGAUAAAUCCAUUUUGCAACUGUAGACUUUUCAGUGAGUAGUUGAUCAAACAAACAGACCGAGGUCUAAACCUCGACCCUCACGACAAAGAUCGAUGGAAACCAGUCACCUCAGUUUCGGUGGACGAACAGUUGACAGAGUAACUUCAGUUAACCAGUAAAACCAACAACUAUAACCUGGGCUUCAUCAUAAAGCAGCCAGUUUGGGUUUUUUAUUUUGCUUUUUUGGAAAUUAUGAAUUACAUCAUCUUCUUUGGGUGAGUCUGGUCCACAGAGCGACCCACUGACUGGACCCGCUGAUGUAAAAGUGUGUCGGUGGUGUCUAUUUUUCCACUUUAGUCAAAAUGUGUCACACAAAUAAAGACUUCACGUGAGACGUGUUUACCCCGGGCUAACCCUGCAGACCUGUCAACCUUCUCUUACUGCCUCCAUACGUUUCACUGCUAACACUAACCACAGAGCGGUUGGCAGUCCCACUUUCAGAUUUGAUGAUGUCACGUAUGUUUUUUGCCUUUAUAAAAACUGAAGAGAACCGAGCUGACAGGAAAUGACAUGUUCCAAAGUAAAAACACGACCAGGAAGAACGCUGCUCCAAAGCAGCCAUGAAGACACCAUACUGCUACUCAUACAGUAUCAGGCAGCCAACGGUAAGUGCAUGGUUUCACAGUGGUUCAUAUUAGUAAUCUCCAACUCUGUUGGGAGGAUUGUUGUUCAUGUACUGUGGGUAGUUAGACAAGUUCCGAUGCAGAUUCAGGACCUCGUAGCAUCACUGCUGACGAUUUUCUAAAUGUUGGUUGUACCAUGUAAUCUGUGAAUAAACACACUCGUGAGUGAUGA